rnacentral:rRNA from 1 species
UACAGAGGGUGCAAGCGUUGUUCGGAAUUAUUGGGCGUAAAGGGCGCGUAGGCGGUGCCACAAGUCACCUGUGAAAUCUCCGGGCUUAACUCGGAGCCUGCAGGCGAAACUGUGGUGCUGGAGUGUGGGAGAGGUGCGUGGAAUUCCCGGUGUAGCGGUGAAAUGCGUAGAUAUCGAGAGGAACACCAGAGGUGAAGACGGGUUGCUGGGCCGACACUGACGCUGAUAGCGCGAAAGCCAGGGGAGCAAACGGG